rnacentral:rRNA from 1 species
UACGUAGGGACCGAGCGUUGUCCGGAAUCAUUGGGCGUAAAGAGCGUGUAGGCGGCCACUUAAGUCCUGCGUGAAAUCUUGCGGCUCAACCGCAAGCGGUCGUGGGAAACUGGGUGGCUAGAGUGCGGGAGAGGAGAGUGGAAUUCCUGGUGUAGCGGUGAAAUGCGCAGAUAUCAGGAGGAACACCGAUGGCGAAGGCAGGUCUCUGGGCAUUAACUGACGCUGAGGAGCGAAAGCAUGGGGAGCGAACAGG